rnacentral:rRNA from 1 species
UACGGAGGGUGCAAGCGUUAUCCGGAUUCACUGGGUUUAAAGGGUGCGUAGGUGGGCAGGUAAGUCAGCGGUGAAAUCCCCCGAGCUUAACUUGGGAACUGCCAUUGAUACUAUCUGUCUUGAAUACCUUGGAGGUGAGCGGAAUAUGUCAUGUAGCGGUGAAAUGCUUAGAUAUGACAUAGAACACCAAUUGCGAAGGCAGCUCACUACACGGUAAUUGACACUGAGGCACGAAAGCGUGGGGAUCAAACAGG